AAUGAAAAAAGACCAGCGAAAAAAGACCUACGAAAGAAAAAACAACGACAAAAAAUCAGGCGACUCGCACGCACGAGCGAGGCCUAUCCCGUCGCCACCGCCCGACACCGCCAGCCCCGGCCUCCUCCCUGGCUCCCAGCGCCGCCCGCCCCCCAUCUCCUCCUGCGAUCCUGGCGUCGCCCCGCCCCACCUUCUCCCUCACUUCCGGCGCUACCUAUCGAUCCCCUCGACGACACAGAGCCGCCGUCCUCUCGUGCGAUCUCGCAGCCGCAUCCGCCAACGCCGAUCCGGGCAGACGCGGCCGUCGUGGAUCACGAGGAUCCGGAUGAUGGGGGCGUGGAGAUGGCCAUGGAUCUGUUACAACGACGACGGCGCCGGAUCCGCACCCGCAACAUCUGGAUGGAGGCCGGCGACGAACCCUAGCCUAGCCGUCAGCAUCGGGAUCCAACCCCUUCUCUCGGUGUUGGGGCAAGGCGUAUGGGGGUGCUUGUUGCGGCGGUGGACCUCGACCCGGCGACAUCUGCAGCAUCUCCCUCCCGUCGGGCUGCAGGACCUGUACGCCCAAGGGAUGUGAUGUAUGCACCUCAUGGUACACAUAGGGUUUUGAUUUGCUUUCCUUGACUGCAGAAGAUGUUAUUAUGGUGAGCCAGGUCAUGGUACACAGGCUAACUAAACAAGCUUCUGUUGUUUUAUUGUUGGUCGUUCCCGUCCACUGCUGCCAACAGUCAAUUUUCUGCAGGGUUUUUAUUUCUUUCUCUUCCAUCGAAAGCUCCUUUUUGCCACUGAUUAAUUAGUUGAUGCAUGUGGAGAUUUUCGAUACUAGGAGAACCAAGUUUAAACAUGUGCAAUUCCAUCUAUCUAGCAUCAAUGUCGGGUGAGGUUAGACUACAAGAAAGACUAGAUAUUAAGCUUGUUCAUUCUAUCUACACCUUUUGAAUCUGAAGUGACUACUGUUGUAAAUAAUGCUACUUGAGUACCUGGUUGAUUGGUUUUGUUUAUUGUGGCAUUGAGUAGCCUACUACAUUAGUGGUGUCAGCUAUAUUUUGUAAGUUUGUUAUCGAUUCAAUUUAGUUAUUUGUGUGUGUGAUUGAAAAAUAAUGGUUUACAUAUGAAUUGCUACAGUUUUAUAUAAUACUCUUUGAUCUGUGCUGCUAGGUCUGCUACUGCGUGCAUGACAACAUGAGGUGUCGCAAUCGGUGCGGUAUGCUGGUGAUAGAUGUUCUCGAUUGUGAUGCCCAAGCCUGUCUGCCGCAAUUGUGUGUUCGUUACUGCUGAGGUUAGAAAAAGCAUACAUCAAUUUUUCUCCUGCAAUUGUACGGUCGUUUCUGCUUUAGUUUAGAAAAACAUAAAACUGAGUUAUUUUUGCCUUUGGCAGACAGUCAUCCUACUUCGUAGUAAUCUGUGCCUUUCGUAUUUGCAUACUAAUCACGAGCCUUUUCUUCAUAAUGCUAAAUUUUGAAUUGCUUUGGCUCUAUAAUUUGUUUGAACUGAUCUUUUAAGAAUUUCAGAUAAGCGCAUCCAGAUCUUUUGACCCUUCCACGAAAAGGUGUAACAUGGUAAAUUUGUCGCAACAAGCAGCAUGGCAUUCUUGAUAGCUUUUCUCCCUAUUAUGACUUGCAUCUUUCUACCUUGCCCCAAAUUAAAUUUGAUUGGGACUGUUUGAUUGAAUGUCAAAUAAAUAUCAACUUUAUCUCUGAUCGAUUCAUGGAAAUGGAAACUGAAUAAUAUUCUGAUUAUUACUUGCAUGCUAUAUUCACUGUUUUUGAUUUAACAACUUGCAAGUGUUUCUUUUAAUCCGCAGAAAAAGGACUCACGGGUGGACAUCUGCUAUAAAUUACCUAGGCCUGGUCAUCUGCGUGAGUUGCAUCUGUCAUUUUUCUUCCCAGGUAGAACAUUAGUUUUGAUUAAAAACAAGGUAGAACAUUAGUGUUCUCCACAGUUUGAUGGGAACACUUUGACUUUCUGUAACCCCUAGAUUUGGUAUUUCCUGAUGAUUGCUUGCGGUUCUUCUUACUUUCUGGUAUAAAUAGAGAAAAAUGAGGAUAUUGUAGUUAUUUUAGAAUGUUCAAGAUUUAGGUGUCCAUACUGUGCUAACUAUGGUCUGAAUUGUUUUGCGGAAUCAUGAUGUCAUGUCGUGAUUACACAAUUCCAAGCUGUGGUUCAGAAGCACACUUCGCUAAAAUACACAUAAUGGUUUUUUUUGGGUUUUCUUCUCACAAUAUAUGUACGUAAAUCAUGUAAUUUGCAACCUUGGUAAGUGCACCUCGAGCUGGCUGAAACAUGCCUGUUCCAAUCAUGAACGGACAUGAAGGCAGCCGGUGGGAUUUACUAUUGCGUCUCGACCUACUCGGAGCAGGAGAGGCCAGGCUGUGGCAGCCGCGGUCGUGGCGUCGUGCAUGUGGCAUCGACGCAGGUGAGAAUACAUCCAUGGCAGUCUCGUGGGCCGAGCGUCAAGGUGAUGGUAGCCGACCCUCCACGCCCCCUCUAGGGAUGGGAAGUGGCGGGCAGAGUACCUCCCCCGCGCAUGUCAGAGUUGCAAACACUUUCAAUUUCAACUGUGUGGUGAUCAGGACAUUCUGUGUUGCUUGGACAACCGAGCUAAGACGGCGAUGCCACCACCUACUUGUAUCUGUACAGGACCUCCGGUGAUUAUUUCUGUGAGUGCAUAAAUAUAUAUCCUCUGCUCUUCAAAUGGUAGUGUUUGAGGUUUUCAUUUCUCCCCCUUCCAGUUCUGCUGAGCACCUUCAAUUCCCCUUUCCCCAGCUCGAAGGAAUUGGCGCCUCCGUUAGUGACCCCGAGUAGUGAUGCAAUGAUGUAUUGUUUGAUCUUCUCCAAAGAUUUUCAAAUAGUUAUACUUUGAUUCAGAGCUCGUUGUGUUUUACUGUAUAUGCAGUUUGUUCUUAUGAAUUUCUCCGAGUAGGUAGAUCCUUUAGGGUUACUAACUUACUGUGAACAAAUGUUUUGUCUUGUUCAUGUAGUUUCCAAAAAUGAAGAAGCUUGUCGUUCAACCGAUGACAAAACACCUAGAGUACGUGCAAAAAUUACUACUUCCUCAUUUACAGCAAACUCAUUGAUACGACAAAGGCAAAAUUUUGGGUGGCAAGUGAGUGGAGACAGCCAUGAGUGGCUCAACAUGUCGAGCAGCGGCCGCCUAUGAGGGGAGUGAGUGGAGACGCGCAAAUAUGUGUGGUGGAGGGGCAACGGAAGCUUGAACGGAAGAUUCGUCGCCAACAUCGAAGAAAUCUAUGGCCUGAUCGACCCUAAAGCUCCUGCAUGGACGCGAAGGUGACCGGGGGCAGAUUGCCGACAUUUGCCACACUAUGGGCAAUCUAUGUGAUGAUCUGCUCUCCGCAAUCGAAGCCAGGAAUGAGCGGCAAGAUCUCUUCGGGAAUGGCUGAUGAGGAAGAAUUGACUGCGGGGGAAUGGUGGAUCUAGGUGGAGUUCGCUUUAGCCAGUGAGGGACGAGCUUUAGUUGUGUAGGGGAAGGGAAGCCACAUGCAUGAGUCAGACAUAAUAAAUCGGCUCGAAAAUGACUCUGUUAGUCCAGAAUCUCGUCUUGGACGACCCAUAUGGUGGUCUGACAUUCGAUCCGGUGUGAAAGUGCCUCACAUAGUCAUGUUUCAUGGACUUCAGAUGUGGGCCAUAUUCACUGUUCAAAAGAAGCAUACAUAGAUUAUUAGUGGCCUAUGUGUGUUGGGCUGUAAAUCCCGGGGCAACUUGAUGGGAGGGAUAACGAGCACACAUGUGCUCCAACACAUAAUAGAGUGCAUAUAACAUGGCUUUCUCACGACUUUAUGCCACUAAUAAG